rnacentral:rRNA from 1 species
AUUGAACGCUGGCGCCAGGCCUAACACAUGCACGUCGAGCGAGCGGCGGACGGGUGAGUAAUGUAUGGGGCUAUGCCCGAUAGAUGGGGAUCACUACUCGAAAGAGUGGCUAAUCCCGCAUACCCUUUGCGCGGCCGAUAUCGGAUUAGAUAGUUGGUGGGGUAAAGGCCCACCAAGGCAACGAUCCGUAGCUGGUUUGAGAGGACGACCCGCAACACUGGGACGGGGACAGGGCCCAGACUCUUACGGGAGGCAGCAGUGGGGAAUUUUGGACAAUGGGCGAAUGCCUGAUCCAGCCAGCCCGCGGGUAGGAGAAGGCCUUCGGGUUGUAAAGUACUUUUGGCAGAGAAGCGGGAUCUGCAGAAUAAGCACCGGAGAACUACGUGCCAGCAGCCGCGGUAAUUC